AAACUAUGAAGGUCCAAGCUAAUUUAAGGAAUGAAAAGUGAAAAUGUUCAUUGCUAUAAAACUACAAGCUAAAGAUUAUUAGUACAUAAAAAGAAUGGACAAUUGUUCCUCUCUCGCUGCGCCCAGCAAGUUUCCCACACGGAGAUGAAACAGACAAUGUGUAUCACAUUAAUCCCCUGUACUACUCCAGAAGAUUGCUCUACCUAAACUGAGCUGAAUUAAGGCUUGAAUGCAGAAAAGGCAACGACAGAGUUGUGGCCACCAAAACCAAAGGAAUUGGAGAUAGCAACAUUCACUUCAUGCUGCUGUUUUUUGUUUGGAACAGUAUCAAAUUCCACUGAAGGCUCAGGAUUGAAUUGGUUAAUU
rnacentral:misc_RNA from 1 species